GUCCCUGUAGCGUAUUGAAUAACCCGUUGGACUUCUAAUCCAAAGGUCGUGGCUCGAAUUCUAUCUGGGAUG